AGAAUCAAAGGUAUGCACACCUCCACUGCCUGGCCCUGUCACAUCUAUCUUCAAAUCCAAUCCCAACACUAAUACUGGACUAGUUACACUAAAUGUAGUACAGCUAAAUAAACAGCUCAAUAGUAGAGACCGCACAAGACCCUGGAUUUGAUUCUCAGAACCAAGAGGUGGGGUGGAGGGAGGGGUGGUAAUUGCUUUCAACAGCAGCAUAACAAAGUAUCAAACACUCCAUGCAGUCUUGUAGUCCCAGCAAGUGGAAAGCUGAGGCAAGAUUACUAUCAGUUCAUGGGCAACCUGGGAUACACAGCAUAAUACAGUUUCAAGACACCAAAAACAAGUACUUAGAACUUUUUGUUUUCCUUUUGCAGCAGUCAGGGCUAAAGUCAAUGAGUAACUUCAAUGUUAUACAUGGUGCUUAACAACAACCCAUCCACUGCCCCAGUUCCAAGAUACCCACCGCAUGGUCCACAUCCAAAAACAUUAUUCUGGACAAACUAUCCAAGUUAAUCUAAGUACCAACAUGGAAAGAGUAAAGACACGACACUGUUCAGAGAUGCUUCCAAUUUAGACUGUCACAACAGACAUGUGCAUCAGCCUGGGUCCCAAGGAGAACAAACAGUAACAUCAUUUGUGAAGCUGAAAGAUAGUAAACAUCUACUAGGAGGGAACACAGUCAGCAACAGAGCAAAUGAGUAACUGCUCUUCAAGUUAUAGACCUUUCUGCUACAGCCAAGAAAGUACAAGACACACAAAAUGGUCUGCAGUCAAACUGGAGAGAGCCCUGAGUAUCAUACCAGCUAAGACUGACUGUUAAAGGCAAAGCUACGGAGGUUUUUUAUUUUUGUUUUGUUCACUGAACUUUUUGUGGAUUUUUUGGGGAGGUGGGGAGGGCAAGGGGUGGGUAAGACAGUGUUUCGCUCCAUUACUCUGCCCGUUCUGGAACUUGUUCUAUAGACCAGGCUGGCCUCAAACUCAGAGAUCUACCUGCCUCUGCCUCCCAAGUGCUGGGAUUAAAGGCGUGCACCACCAGACCUAGCUCCACAAAGAGUGUUUAUAGACAGAAGUCACAGGGUGAAGGAACAGUCUGUGUGAAAUUAACAUGACAACCAAAAAGAGAAACUGAAAGCAAGAACAGCAGAAAAGGUAAGGAAGCGAUGGUUUCAAAUGCAAGAGCAUUCGCACCAAGCAGUGCUGUCAAUAUCCAGAACUGGUUCCUAUUUAAAACAUUCACACUUGUUUCAUUUUCUUGAUUUAAGAAAAAAAUAAAAGGUGGUUUCUUGACCAAAGUCUGAGGGAAAGGCUUUUCUGCCUUUUCACGUGAGACCACUGAAACCAAAAGCAGAGGGCUUAGAACACAGGAGGGAGGCCUAGGUAGGAUUAGCAAAGCACAGGGCUACCACGCCAGCGCUGUGCACAGGAGGGAGCUAUACCCUGAUAAAGCCUCAAGCAGGCCACACCGUGCACUGUAGUGGCUGGCCUUAGAGUCAGCUCUGACUACACAGAAUCUACUGCUCUGUGCCUCGGCUCACCCCAGGGGUCGUCUGUGAGUCACUAUGUAACUAUCUAAAGCCAAAGCAUAAACCCUGGGUCAUCCACACUUAUAGGACAAAACAACUAAGUACUUUAAAAACUUCUGCCGCCUACUCAGAAAGAACACUAGUGAGCAAAUUUACAACAAAUGUAGAACACAAUCUAUCCCACAGCUUAACUUCAUCACUGGUUCCUUCCAUGAUUCACGACUUUCCAGAUACAGCAGUGCUCUCGCCAGGGGUGGUAGCACACACCUGCAACCUCGGCAUUCGGGAAGAUGAGAAAAGAAAACCCUGAGUUUGAGACUAGUCCAGACUACACAGUGACAGAGCCUUGAAAAGAAAAAAAGUAUUCUUAACUUACAUGUGCACUUAUUAAUUACUAUAACCCAAAAAGGUUUCUUCUUAAAAUAGAAAAAUAUUUUCACAGCCUAUGUAACCUUUCCAUAACUAGCUCCUCCAAACAGCAUUACCUACUAAUUUAAAACCAUGGCAACACUGAUUUCACAUUAAAAAAUGAAAAGUUGUUCUCAUUUCCACUUUCUCUAUAUUAAUGUUCAAUAAAGUUUCAACAUGCCAUUUAAAACUGACAAGCACCUAGUGCACAAAACUCACAAUAUUUGAUUACUUUAAUAUAAUUUCCAAAAUCAAACAUACUUGAAAUCAAUUAAAUAUGCUAUAUCAUCAUGGAGUUCAUUCUUUAUCAAUGUAAUCUCACCUGACACACAAAAGAAAUAGGAACAAUGAAGGUUAAACAAGAAAUAAGCUAAAAGCUACUAAUCCACUCCACUUAGGGCACCUGAAUCAGAAAGAGCUGUACUGCUCUCUACACAGCUCUAAGGUCUGAGGUGUUAAAAUCAUUUGCAAAGCUCUAUACAAGGCUAUCCGCCAAAGCAUGAACAUCACAAGAAGGGUUCACUACCAGGCCCCUCCCCAAAGAGAAGCAACUUUAUAAAGUUGAGCUACUAGAAGAAUAAAAUAGAAAGCAACCUCGAUCUAUAUCUACAAACUUGAAAGGCUUGUCACAAAAAUAACAGAUUACAAAAAGUAUCAGCUGUGGAUAUAGUUCAGAUGAUAAAUUGCUUGCUUAACAUUCAUGAUACUCUUGAGUUCAAGUCCCAGCAUGACAUACAUCAGGCUUGCCUAUAACCCCAACACGGAAGGUGGAGAGGAGGACCAGGAAUUCAAGGUCAUCCUACAUUACAUAGGGAACUUAAAAGACAACCUGAGCUAUAGGUGACAAUAUUCAUACGUGUGUAUGUAUACUAUAUGUAUACUGGGCAUGUGUGUGUCUGUUUACAUAUAUAUGUACAUAUACAUAUAUAUAUAUAAUUUUUAAUACUGUGAUUCUUUCUUGUGAAUAUAUAUACAUAUAUAUACACACACAUAUGUGUGUAUACAUAUAUAUACCUACAGUCACUGAAAGUCUACAUAUAGAUCCCCAGAUGUUAAACUGUAGUGUUUCUUUUUCUUUUUCUUUUUUCUUUUUCUUUUUUUCCGAGACAGGGUUUCUCUGUGUAGCCCUGGCUGUCCUGGAACUCAGUCUGUAGACCGGGCUGGCCUCGAACUCAGAAAUCCACCUGCCUCUACCUCCCAGGUGCUGGGAUUAAAGGCAUACACCACCACUGCUUGGCUAACUGUAAUAUUUUUGAAAGUUAAAAUUAUAAGUGCUAUUUUUCUGUCUUCUUUUUAGUAUUUUAUAAAAAAAAAAAAAAUUUCCAAGCAAAAUAGUAAUUGCAAAAAUUGCUAUGCUUAGUUAGUUGGAGGUUAGUCUUAGUAUGAGUGAGACUGUCUCUUUUUAAAAACCAAACAGUGAGGGUUCGGAGAGAUGACUCAGUGGCUAGCUAAGAGCUGGCUGCUCUUCAGAAGCCAGGGUUUGAUCCCUAGCAUCCACAAAGCAGAGAAAUGUUCUGUAACUCUAAUUCCAGGGGAUUUGAUGCCCUCUCCUGGCCCUUGUGGGCACUGCAUGAAAAUAAUGCAUAGAUACACAUUUAGGCAAACACUCAAAGGCAUAAAAUAAAAAUAAAACCUCAAAAUUAAAAGAGGGGAAAAAAAGGAAGAAAAAAACAAAACUAGCUGGGCAGUGGUGGCGCACACCUUUAAACCCAGCACUCAGGAGGCAGAGGCAGGGGAAGCUCUGGGUUUGAGGCCAGCCUGGUCUACAGAGUGAGUUCCAGAACAGCCAAUGCUACACAGAGAAACCCUGUCUGGAAACAAACAAACAAACAAGCAAGCAAGCAAGCAAACAAACAAACAAAAGAUCCUGUCUCAAAAAAAAUUUAAAAGAAAGAAAAUUAAUUUGUAGGAUUCCAACUAACAAAGUCCAAAUGUUUUUAAAGAGAGAUUUGCAAAACCAGGCACGUUAGCACUCAUCUUAAUCCCAGUCCUCUGGAGUAAAAGGAGGGCAGCUUUUUGUGAGUUCAAGGCCAGUUUGGUCUACAUCGUAAGAUACAGACCAGCCAGGGCUCUACACUGGAAAUGCAUAGUGUCCCCACAAAAUAGCCAGGCAUAGAACUAAAGGAAAUGUCUUAGCAGCAUUACAAUACUUAGUGAGCUAGGCAUCUUAAACAACUCCAGGACUGCCUUGGCAUUUUAGGGAGGCCGGCUGGUAACACUUGCCCUGGCCAGGCUUCCUUACCUUGCUCAUUCCCCUCCUACUACAUCAAAGAACUAUGCGAAAAGCAAAAGUUAUGUGAUACAUUAUAAACUGAAUAGCACUACAAAACUAAGGUAUCAAGUAUUCUUCAAACAGUAAAAGAAGAGAGUAGAGGGCUGGAGAGAUGGCUCAGUGGUUAAGAGCACUGACUGCUCUUCCAGAGGUUCUGAGUUCAAAUCCCAGCAACCACAUGGUGGCUCACAACCAUCUGUAAUGGGAUGUGACAUUGUACUCAUAAAAUAAAUAAAUAAAUUUAAAAAAAAGAAGAAGACAGUAGAGCAUAGUGGCUUAUGCCCAUCAUCCCAACACUUAGGAGAGAUACACAACAUCAGGAGCUCAAGGUUUUCUUCAGCCACACGGUGAGUUAAAGGCCAGUUAGAGCUACACAAAAAAGAAAUGCUUAGUGACAGAGCUGAACACUUAAGAAAACAGUACCAUCAAUUCUGUGAAGUAAUGAACCAAGCUCUUGUUUAGUUUUUAGUAUGCUACAGCUUAUAAAAUCCCACUUUCUGAAGGCAGAUACUUCUUCCUAGAUCCCACUACAAACACAGCCACUUUAUUUUCUUACCCCUAGUUACCAGCAUGAAAGGGUACAAAUUACACUGAAAUCAAAAGCCUCAGCAUGAACCCUGGAACAGCAUGCUGAUGGAGUUCACCAGGAGGAACCCAAGGUUAAUCAGCUACUGCAAUCAAAGGGGAUUAGGAGACACUCCUGGAAGAGAAAGACAAUGCAGUCACCCGGAGAAAACCAGCAAGGAAAAGGCGGCAAUAUUUCAAAACAAUUACAUCAACUACUUAAAAACUUAAGUGUUUUCCAAAUUGUUUUAAAAUACUGUUCCCAAGAAGUGACAUAAAACAAAAGCCAUCUAAAUGCAGCACUUCAUAAAAGCAAGUCAGAGAGAUUAAAAUCAAAUCCAUGAAUAACAUGUCAGACUUACUUGCUUCUAUGUGAAAUAAAAGCAGACGAAUUACACCACAGAGAUCAAAACUAAGUGGUUAUUUGUUGAAAAUAAAGAGACAGAUAUGACAACAAAAUGUACUGAUACACUUCCACAGCAGAUACUUUAAAAGUAGGCUUCCCUGCUCAUUGGAUUCCAUUAUUUACUCCUUGAAAGUGAUGAAUCCUUCCCCCAGUGCUCCUUCUAUGAGUUAACAGCAAUACAACUUGAGUUUUAAUGCAAAAGACAUUUAAGAAAAAAUAAUGACUUUGGAAGGUGAGUGUGGUGGCUCAUGCUGAUAUCCCAGCAUUCUGGAGACUGAGGCAAAAAGGCUGUCACCCUCCAGGCCAUUAUGAACUACAGAGUGAGUCCUGACUCUAAAAGAAAAAUGUUUAUUUUUGUUAUCAUUGUGGUUUUUUCUUCAUUUAGACCAGAGGUUCUCAACCUGUGAGUAUUGACCCCUUUAGAGGCAGAACUACGACCCUUUCACAGGAAUGGCUUUUCAGAUAUGCCAAUCAUCAAAUAUUUAAAUUACAACUCAUAACAAGUAGCAAAAUUACAGUUAUGAAGUAGCGACGAAAUAAUUUUAUGGUUGGAGUCACCACAACAUAAGGAACUGUACUAAAGCAUUAGGAAGGUUGAGAACCACUGUUUUAGGGUAUUUUGUGGUCAUCUGAGUCUUUUUUUUUUUUCUCUUUAGUUUUAACCUGGUUUAUUUUCUAGAUAGAGUCUUGCCAUGUAAGGCCAGGCUGGCCUAGAACUCACAUUACUUAAAUCUUAACCUUCUAAGUUACUAGGAUUAAAAGCAAGGGAGCUGUCUAUAAAUAAAUUAAAUAAAUAAAUAAAUAAAAUUUUAAAAAGGCAUGGUGGCAGUCCUUUAAUCACAGCACUGCAGAGAAAGAAGCAGAGGCAGGCAGACCUUUGUGAGUUGGAGGUCAGCCUGGUCUACGUAGCAAGUUCCAGGCCAGCCAGAGCUCACAGAGAGAGACUGUCUUAAGAAAACAACAAAUCAAAGUAACUACAAUGAAACUGUCAGGUUAUCGCUACCAAGAUCACUUGGGCUGCACAUCCUCCCCGUUUGAAGUGCCUUCACCUUCACAGCCUCCCAGAAAUCAUUUGUGGGUAUUCCCCUAAUGAAAACUUGAACUCUUCAUAAGCAGAAGUGCACAGAGAACUCAUUUUGAUAUGUAUGACUCAAUCUACUUUUUAUUGGCAAUAUCUUCAAGCUUGCACUAUCCCUACGGGGGCUUUGGAUCUGUUUUUCCCAUCUGAUCUUAGCAGAAUCACUAUAGAUUUAAAAGGAUUCACUAAAAGGGCCAUUAGGAAAAUAAUUAUAAAUACAAUCCACUGCACAGUCAAAUGUGGGCUGUGAAUUGGGAUAAGGAAAAAAAAUUAGUGUUUCCUCAGCAGUUCCCAUUAGAGUUCUGUAUUUUCAUUUAAAACUUAAAAAUAAAAAAAUCUAGGGUUCCCCCUAAUUAUUUAGACUUUCCCUAUUUUAUUAGCAUAUAUGACCAAUAUCUUUCACACAUCACUCACACAAACACAUGCACACCCUAAAGAAAAUAUUUCUGAAAGGAAUAUAUUCCAAACUUCACUGUACACACACACACAAAGAUAUGCAUUCCUGUUAUCAUCGCCCCUACUCUCCAAAGCAGCAAUACCACAAUGAAGCCUUAGCAGGACUUUUACCACAGCUAUCACCAGCUAAGUAAUCUAUCACAGCUCCUUUAAGUCUCAGGCACACACAAUGACACACCAAUGUGUCAAAACACUUAUUAUAAUUUGAAAAAUUAUACAACAGAAACAUAAGAGUGGAAAACAAACCCUCUGGAAAUUUCAAGUAGCUUUUAGAGAGGGUGAAAAAAUGGAGACCAGUUUUAGAAAAAUACCAUUUCCAUUAAGUGUUCAGAGUCUGUGUGAUACUGACUCAUUUCUGUAAAGAGUAAACUUUACCUAACAAGACUCACACCAGGAAUCUCAUCUAUCCCCAAAGGCACUCUUCUUUCUUUUUCCUUUUUCUUUAUUCUAUUUCUUUAUUUUAUCAAGACAUGAUCUUACUAAGUAGCUCUGCCUAUCCUGGAACUCACUCUGUAGAUCAGCUGAUCCUCAAAAAGAGAUUCACCUGCCUCUGCCUCCCAAAGGCUGGGAUUAAAGGUAUGGGGCCACUAUGCCUGGCCCCGAAGGCACUUUCUUAAAAUAGAAACAACAAAGGUACUCUGUUCUUUGCAGGUACUUUUCCCAUAUGGUUUUCAAGCCUUACUACAUGGUCCAUGUAUAAAAAACUUGGCCAGCUAUUUUUCAAAUUGACUCCUAAAAAGUAUUAGGAAGCAAAGAUAAGACAGCAGCAACUCUGAAGAGGAUGGGGGUGGCACAUGCUUUUAAUCCCAGCACUUGGGAAGCAGGAGGCAGGCAGAUCUCUGAGUUCUGAGUUUGAGGCCAGUCUGUUCUAUAGAGUGAGUUCCAGGACAGCCAGGGCUACACAGAGAGAAACCCUGCCUCAAAACAAAAUCAAAAAUAAAAGAUGACAGUAACAUAGUGACAGAAAAAUAAUUACAUAAAAUACACAUACUUGAGCUCUGGGGUUUUUUGUUCGUUUGUUUUUAUGCAAGGUGGUUGUCUCCAAAAUGUUAAAUUUCAGAGGCUUUCUUGGUGAAAUCAAUAGUCUGAAAUUGGGAUAAAAAAAACUAUCCAAGUCAGGAAUGGUGGUGAAUGCCUUUAAUCCCUUUAAUCCUAGCACUAAGGAGGCAGAGGCUAGAGGAUCCCUGAAGUUUAAAGCCUGUAUGGUCUGUCUACACAGUGAGUUCCAGACCAACCUCAGCAACAUAGCAAACCUCUGUCUUAAAAAAAAAGGGGGGGGGGGCGCUAUCCAUUAAGAUUUUCUGUCUUAAACAAGUUAGUAAUUAGAAGUAAACUUAAAAAAAACAAAUACCCAAAUCUUGUACAAAAAUCUUGAUAUGUUAACACUCCAAAGUUACUAAGGAAAAAAAGAUCUUCCAGUGAGGCUUUUACACACACACACACACACACACACACACAGGUGCACGGAAAGAAAAGUGUCCAGAAACACAGGUAGUGGUCUGCUUGUUUUAGAAGUUAUUUCAUUAUAAUGGGGAAAAUAAUAAUUUUUUUUAUUGAUUAUAAAAAGAAUUUCUAAAUCUCCCUGAGGAUUUAUAAUUGCAUAGCCCAAUCUCCACUCUGACAGAGAUGUGCUAUAACCAGCUGUUUGGUUCGCACACAGGAAGCCAGAGAAGGGAAUACCAUGUUCAGAGCCUCUAAAUAAUAUGCGUUAGUUAAGAACUGCCUGCCUGCUACUAAACCAGAAUUAUUCAAGCAGAGACCCAUUUGUCACAAUCCAAUCAUAAGGGUUCCACCAGCCCUCCCCCAACUGCUUGUGUAGUGGUAUAUGUGCUUCAGUAAAGGAGCCAUCAUCAGGUAAAGAUUGGGGUGGGAGAAAAAGCGGGGGAAAGGGGGCACCCUUUCAUCUAAUUUCGCGAGGCAUGAGUAAUUGGUACAGUUGAGAGGAACGAUGGAACGUUCUAUUUAUUGGAGGUUGGGGUGGGAUGGGGGGUGGGUGGGAGGAGAAUUUCGUUUAAAUCAACAUGGCCAGCAAGAUGUCCCUAACAAACAAAAGGCAACGGGGGAUAUAAACACGAACCAUUCACCUCCAUCAGCUAUAGCAUCGCCAUCAUGGUGUGUUUAGAGACCCCCAAGGCUGCUCUCAUCUGCCACACCAGAGACAGCAAGAGUGCAGAGAGGUGGCUGCAUCCCCACCACCGCUCCCAAAAGCACACUCUUUCAAUGGGUUGCUCCCCACCACCACACACACACCCUCCCCGGUGGCCCGAAAUCAAGAGAGAAACAGUAACGUCCCGCCCGGGCAGACUCCCCCUGCAACCCUUUAGCCGAACCCCCAACGCCGGCUCCGGGCUCGCUAAACUUUCCAAGAGCUUCUCCCUCGUAUUCCCUAGCCGAUUGCCCCGGGAUCGCGCAUUCCCUCUGGCCGGGCACCCAUUGACAGGCGGGCGGGCAGCGGCGGCAAGCGAGGCGGGGGCGCCUGGGCGCCGCGGAGGGGCGGGGCGGCCGGAGCCAAGUUCCCGGGGGUCCGAGCGCUGCGCCUGACAGGAGCCCGGGACGGCGAAAGAGGAAGAGGAAGCGGCAGCGGGGCAGUUUUCCCGAUCCCCCUCUUCCCAGAGCAGCCUACACCCCCCCACCCCCUGGCUGCCCAUGGGGGGGGGGGGGGGAGGCGGGCUGCAAGUAAUAGAACAAUAACGAAGAUGGGCAGAAACCAUGGCUUCUUGGAGUCCAUGAACACAGCAGUCCUGUCACAUCCAGAAGACAGUGUCACUCAGGUCUUCCCCAACCUCUGGCUCUGACAUUCUUCCUGUCCUCUCUACUAUGAUUCCUGAGUCUCCAGAGAAGGCCUAGCCAUUGAGAGUGCUUACUGUUCCUGCAAAGGACCUGAAUUCGAUUUUCAGCUCUCACAUCAGGUUUAAAGUUUUGUGCUACCUUGCGUAGGCCUAAGCUUUUCAUGGCCACUAUACCUCAAGAUCUCCAUGUCAAGGCCCAGGUCAGAAACUUGUGUCUUCUAGCCUCAAGAUCUGGAUCACAGGGUCAGGAUCUGAGAGAAGAUUUUCCAGUCCCAGGGAAGAUCAAGGUGAUGUCUCUCCAGUGGCCUCAGAAGUCCUGAAGACCUGCAGAUACUGUAUUGCUCUUCAUCUCUGCUUAUGCAAGUGGACAUGGACAUUGUAAAGUUCUAGUCAUGUGUCGGUUAUCACUGGAUUCUGGUUAUCAGGUGCAGCCUUGAGUGUAGUGGGAUCCUAACUAAGCUAAUUUUACAUGUCUAAAAGACA